CCCUGGUGAAUAUGAUCAACCAUAUAUGAUUAAAAAAUAUAUAUUACAGUAUGUGUUUACUCACUUACUACUUUGCAAUGUAACAUUUGUCCUACCAUAACCCUAAGCCAUGGCCCGUCUUCAUACAGCAAAAUGAUUUGUCUGGGGGGUGGAAGUUUGGUGUGGUAUCGUAUGUACUAGUAGGGGGGUCUGGGGGUAUUCUCCCCCCGAAAUUUUUUUUGUAUUUUUCCACCCCUAGGACUGAAAUGUGAGCAUUUUGUGAAACAGAUUUUUGGAUAUACAGCGUUACAUUGUGCUUUGAUAGACCGAAUCUGAUCAGUUAAGUACUUGCAUGGUAUGUUUAUGUAAAU
rnacentral:lncRNA from 1 species